rnacentral:ncRNA from 1 species
UCAUUUCCUGUGAAUGGAUAAGUAGAUGGAAAAAGCGCCAGUACAGAGAGCCGGAGUAGCUGGGAACCGGUAUGGUGAGCGUCAUCGAAUAUGGUCCGGGAGGAACUGUGGUCAAGCAUAUUCGGUUGUAUCGAUAUGUAAGGCUUCAGCGUGAACCAGCGUUAAUGGGCAGUCUGCUAAAGACUGAUAGAGUCUACUUUUGCAAAGAAGUAGAGAAUUUGGGUGGUAACGCGUGAGUCUAUGCUCUCGUCCCAUAU